ensembl:lncRNA LOC120093103 uncharacterized LOC120093103
GCCUGGGAGUCAGGUAGCAGGGCCUUUGGGAUCCAGUCGCUCAUUGACUGUGAGCUCAGGCAAGCUCGUACACUCCAGAGGCUCCUCUGCUUCCGUGUUUCACGAGAAUGCAGUGUUACAGGAUCCUAAAUGCAGUUGUGAGGAUUAAAUGUGAAAGUGCUCAUGGCAUACAGAAUGCUGAACCCAGGCCUGGCGCAGAAGGGUCAGCCAUUUCUAAUGGGAUACAGGCACACAUGCAUGGGCAAGGAGCCCACUCUGCACCUCUCCAAGACAAAGGCAAUCCGUCUGAAGGAUAUCUUGAAUGUGAAUGAUUCUCUGCUUUAUCAACCUUGAGUCUGCACAUAAGUCACAGCCCUCUUCUUUCGUCGGCAAUUCCAGCAAAAUUCCAUGUCUGUGAUUGUUUUCAUUGCCACCCAGUUUAUGGGACACAUGUAUUCCUUUCCCACUUUAAAGGUUUCUGCAGUCGCAGUCACGUUCACUGCAAGCGCGGGGGAUGAUCUUCCCAUUUAAAACAUUGGCCAAUCAACCGCAUCAUUUCAUUUUGAAUCGCAACUCCUGUGUUGUGUAAUUACUUGUGAAGGUUGAGAAAUGGGCCUCUCCAGGAAGAUCCUUUCUUUACUAGACCAGCAAGAAUGAGCCUGUCUAAGUGGUAGGUGUGUGUAUGUGCUGCAUGCAUGUGUGUGCCUGUAUGUGUGCAUGUGUGUGUACAUGUGCAUGUGUGUGUGCAUUUAUGUUUUGUGCAUGUGUGUGUGCAUUUGUGGUGUGUGUGUGUGUGUGUGUGUGUGUGUGUGUGUGUGUGUGUGUAUUCUAAGCAGGCAUCUUAGAUUUUGUGAACAAUUUUAAGGACCUUUGGAAUUUGUUAAACAUUUAGUUUCAGUUUAUUUUAUUACUGUUUUUGUUUUGUUUUGUUUGUUUUCUUGAAGGCUUGGGGAAUGAGUAUUGAGUUGAUAUUGUAUCAUGUGAUGGGAUCUGGGGAUUUUACAGGAGGGCAAUAGAUGGGGAGGCCAGCAAGGUGGCCCCUGUAGUUUCCAGAGGAAGAACCACAGAAGACCAUAGCACAGACCUGAAGUUGGAAGGAGCCUCAUGCUGGUAAUUUUCUGUAAUCCAGACAUUCACCAUCGCUUCCGACAGCAUCCAUGCUUGUCUAUGUGCCUUGCUCAACGGCGCAUGUAUGUUUCCCUUAUGCAAUCCCUGGUACCUGACUCAGGAUUUACAAUCUCAAAGAAGCUUCCAGUCACUGGCUUCUCUACGUGAAUGUGUACUAGUUCUUGUGGCUGGCUGGGUCUUGGUGAUGAUGAUGAUUGCAGGAACACCCCAUUUGAAUAAGGCAUUCAUGUGUUUGUAAUACUAUCUACAUAAAACUCACAUAGAACAUCUUGAUUAAAUCAUCUAGAAGCAACCAUCUCUAGAUUAUUCCUAAUAUUGAAUUCAGUGUAAAUAGUGUAUAAAUAGUUGUUAAUUUUGUAUAUUUGUGCCAUGUAUGUAUAUACAUACAUAUGUACGUCUGCGUGCGUGCAGGUGGUAGUCAGAAGUCAAUUCCUGGCAUCUUCCUAGUUUCCCUACAUUUCACAUAUUUUUUUUUUUUGGUAUAGUGUCUCACACUGAACCUGGUGUUAAAAUUAACCCCACUAGGCUGGCUGUCAAUGAGCUCCAAGUGUUCCCCUAUCUUUCCCCUUCUUUUUUUUUUUCCAGAGCUGAGGACCGAACCCCGGGCCUUGGGCUUGCUAGGCAAGUGCUCUACCACUGAGCUAAAUCCCCAACCCCUUCUCUGUCCCCUUCUAACAGUGGACUCACAAAUGUAUUCUGGCAGCCCAGAUUUUAGUUGGGGAUCUGUACUGGUUAGUUUUGUGUGUCAAUUUGACACAAGCUGGGGUUUUCACAGAAAAGGAGCCUCAGCUGUGGAAAUGCCUUCACAAGACCCAGCUGUAAGGCAUUUUCUCAUCUGGUGAUCAAGGUGGGAGGACCCAGCCCAUUGUAGGUGGUGCCUUCCCUGGGCUGGUGGUCUUGGGUUCUAUAAGAGAGCAAGCUGAGCAAGCCAGGGGAAGCAAGCCAGUAAGUAACAUCCCUCCAUGGCCUCUGCAUCAGCUCCUGCUUCCUGACCUGCUUGAGUUCCAGUCCUGACUUCCUUUGGUGAUGAACAGCCAUGUGGAAGUGUAAGCUGAAUAAACCGUUUCCUCCCCAACUCUCUUCUUGGUCAUGAUGUUUGUGCAGGAAUAGAAACCCUGACUAAGACAGGAUCCAAACCCAGAUCCUCACACAUACAAAGCAAGCACGGUAGUCACUGGCCUAUCUUGUCCCCUCCAAAAUUCUCAUAAUUUUUCAAGGAGAAAAUGACAGGAUUUUAAAAGUCACAUCCAUUCAGUACAGAUGUUACUUGCUUUUGAUGAACGGUUGUAUGAAUUAGAUGAAAUACUAAUACCUAUGGUUGCAGACGACCAAUGCAUGAGCUACUUCACUUCUGGCAUGCAUACAUUCUAUGAUUUCAUUCUAUUUCUCCCACCAGAACCUACUCUAGCCCCUUAGAGGGCCUUCUGCCUUCAACUUCCAAAGCCUCCAUGACUGAGCUUGUCCACCACAUGCAUGCCUGGUGCCUGCGGAGUUCAGAAGAGAUGAUCAGAUUCCUUGGAACUGGAGUUCAGGAUGGUGGUGAGUCACUACCUUGUGGGUCCUGGGAACUGAUUUCAGGUCCUUUGGAAGAGAAGCAAGUGAUCUUGACCAGUAAGCCAUUUCUGCAGUUCCUGAGAUUAUCUCAAACCAUGAAGUAUCAUCUAAAUUUCUGUUCAAUGACUUCCAAUCUCAGAUCCACCUCAGAUUCACUGUCAGACUAGAGGUAGCAACCCCUACCAAUAUACAUUUUUUAAUCCAGAGAAUUCAGUAUUGCUUUAGUUUUUCAC